UACGGAGGAUCCGAGCGUUAUCCGGAUUUAUUGGGCGUAAAGAGCGUGUAGGCGGUUUGGUAGGUCCGUUGUGAAAACUCGAGGCUCAACCUCGAGACGCCGAUGGAAACCAUCAGACUAGAGUCCGGAAGAGGAGAGUGGAAUUCCUGGUGUAGCGGUGAAAUGCGCAGAUAUCAGGAAGAACACCCGUGGCUAAGGCGGUUCUCUAGUACGGUACUGACGCUGAGACGCGAAAGCGUGGGGAGCGAACAGG
rnacentral:rRNA from 1 species